rnacentral:rRNA from 1 species
UACGGGGGGGGCAAGCGUUGUUCGGAAUUACUGGGCGUAAAGGGCUCGUAGGUGGUCAACUAAGUCGGACGUGAAAUCCCUCGGCUUAACCGGGGAACUGCGUCUGAUACUGGAUGGCUUGAGUUUGGGAGAGGGAUGCGGAAUUCCAGGUGUAGCGGUGAAAUGCGUAGAUAUCUGGAGGAACACCGGUGGCGAAGGCGGCAUCCUGGACCAACACUGACGCUGAGUGAGCGAAAGCCAGGGGAGCAAACGGG